GGACUACAAGGGUAUCUAAUCCUGUUUGCUCCCCACGCUUUCGUGUCUCAGCGUCAGUACUCGUCCAGUUGGCCGCCUUCGCCACAGGUAUUCCUCUCGAUAUCUACGAAUUUCACCUCUACACCGAGAAUUCUACCAACCUCUCCGGUACUCGAGCCACGCAGUAUCGGGUGCACUUCCUGGGUUGAGCCCAGGGCUUUCACAUCCGACUUGCGCGGCCGCCUACACACGCUUUACGCCCAGUAAUUCCGAACAACGUUUGCACCCUCUGUCUUACCGCGGCUGCUGGCAC
rnacentral:rRNA from 1 species